UUGGAGGGCAAGUCUGGUGCCAGCAGCCGCGGUAAUUCCAGCUCCAAUAGCGUAUAUUAAAGUUGUUGCAGUUAAAAAGCUCGUAGUUGAAUUUCGGGGUUCUACCGUUGGUCGGGCUUUGUCUGUACUGGUGUGUAGAAUUUCUACCUUCUGGGGAACCAUCAUGCUAUUAAUUUAGCGUGGUGGGAAACCAGGACCUUUACCUUGAAAAAAUUAGUGUGUUCAAAGCAGGCUUAUGUCUGAAUACAUUAGCGUGGAAUAAUAGAAUAGGACGGUAGUCCUGUUUUGUUGGUUUCUGAAUCACCGUAAUGAUUAAUAGGGAUAGUUGGGGGCAUUAGUAUUCAAUUGUCAGAGGUGAAAUUCUUGGAUUUAUUGAAGACUAACUUCUGCGAAAGCAUUUGCCAAGGAUGUUUUCAUUAAUCAAGAACGAACGUUAGGGGAUCGAAGACGAUCAGAUACCGUCGUAGUCUUAACCAUAAACUAUGCCGACUAGGGAUCGGACGAUGUUAAUUUUUCUUGACUCGUUCGGCGCCUUACGGGAAAC
rnacentral:rRNA from 1 species